rnacentral:rRNA from 1 species
UACGUAGGCAGCGAGCGUUGUUCGGAGUUACUGGGCGUAAAGGGUGUGUAGGCGGUUGUUUAAGUUUGGGGUGAAAUCUCCCGGCUCAACUGGGAGGGUGCGUCGAAUACUGAAUGACUUGGAGUGCGGGAGAGGAAAGUGGAAUUCCUGGUGUAGCGGUGAAAUGCGUAGAUAUCAGGAGGAACACCGGUGGUGUAGACGGCUUUCUGGACCGUAACUGACGCUGAGACACGAAAGCGUGGGUAGCAAACAGG